rnacentral:rRNA from 1 species
GAUAGGCAAUUAUUCCUGUAAUGGUUUUUGUUUAAAUGUUUUUCGCCUAAGGAUGAGUCUGCGGCCGAUUAGGUAGUUGGUUAGGUAAUGGCUUACCAAGCCGUUGAUCGGUACGGGUUGUGAGAGCAAGAGCCCGGAGAUGGAACCUGAGACAAGGUUCCAGGCCCUACGGGGUGCAGCAGGCGCGAAACCUCCGCAAUGUGAGAAAUCGCGACGGGGGGAUCCCAAGUGCCAUUCUUAACGGGAUGGCUUUUCAUUAGUGUAAAGAGCUUUUGGAAUAAGAGCUGGGCAAGACCGGUGCCAGCCGCCGCGGUAACACCGGCAGCUCUAGUGGUAACAAUUUUUAUUGGGCCUAAAGCGUCCGUAGCCGGUUUAAUAAGUCUCUGGUGAAAUCCUGCAGCUUAACUGUGGGAAUUGCUGGAGAUACUAUUAGACUUGAGACCGGGAGAGGUUAGAGGUACUCCCAGGGUAGAGGUGAAAUUCUGUAAUCCUGGGAGGACCGCCUGUUGCGAAGGCGUCUAACUGGAACGGUUCUGACGGUGAGGGACGAAAGUUAGGGGCGCGAACCGGAUUAGAUACCCGGGUAGUCCUAACUGUAAACGAUGCGGACUUGGUGUUGGGGUGGCUUUGAGCUGCUUCAGUGCCGAAGGGAAGCUGUUAAGUCCGCCGCCUGGGAAGUACGGUCGCAAGACUGAAACUUAA